AGGCAUUGGCAUUGUGGAGAUGAACUAGGUAGGCACUCUCCCUCAAGUACUUCCCAGCCCAGAAGGGGACAGGACCACACCUGAGGGCUAUCCUAAAGAUCUGAACAGUGGGGACAGAAUGAAGAGAGCUUGCUUGGACAGCUUUAUGUAGCAGAGCUGGUACAAGUGACUUAGGCCUUGAAGGGACUCCUGAGCAUCAUUCAAGGAAUUCUCUGGUCUCUAAACCCAAGUCUAAAGGCAGCUGAUUUAUCUGAUUUAUCCCUGGGAGCCACACCCAGCACAGGGCCAAGCACAAACACAACAUCACAUGAACGAGGACAGUGAGUCACCUGGGAUAUGGAGAGACGCAAGAGGAUCAGAAGUUUGAGGCCACCCUCAGGAACACAGCAAGUCUGAGGGCAGCCCGAGCCACACACGCUUCUUACCAAGAAAGGAUGAAGCCAAUGUUCCCACUCUAUCCUAAAAUAGGCUGCCAAGCACACCCAAGAAUGUGUUCUGGGACCCCACACUAGAAGACCUUGACACUCAGUAUGAUUGCAUCACGAAGCCUGAUCUAUACCCAAGAGUGGGAACCGUAUCACUGUGGUCCCUACCCAUCAUGGAGACCCUCUCACUCACUCACUCACUCACUCACUCACUCACUCACUCACUCACUCGCCCACUCACUGUGUGACCUUGGGAAGCCACUGAACUGAUCUAGUCUCUCUCCCAUAAAAUGGACUAAUGGUUGCAUCUCCCCCGAGAGCUUGGCAGAAGGGUUAAAAUUAAUAUGUACUGAAUGCUAUUGAUUAUAUAAAGUUAUUAUAUG
ensembl:lincRNA 4930461G14Rik RIKEN cDNA 4930461G14 gene